rnacentral:rRNA from 1 species
UACGUAGGGGGCAAGCGUUGUCCGGAAUCAUUGGGCGUAAAGCGCGUGUAGGCGGCCAGAAAAGUCCGCUGUGAAAUCUCGAGGCUCAACUUCGAGCUGUCGGUGGAAACUAUCUGGCUAGAGUCCGGAAGAGGAGAAUGGAAUUCCUGGUGUAGCGGUGAAAUGCGCAGAUAUCAGGAAGAACACCCGUGGCGAAGGCGGUUCUCUGGGACGGUACUGACGCUGGAGACGCGAAAGCGUGGGGAGCGAACAGG